AACGAACGCUGGCGGCAUGCCUAACACAUGCAAGUCGAACGAGACCUUCGGGUCUAGUGGCGCACGGGUGCGUAACGCGUGGGAAUCUGCCCUUGGGUUCGGAAUAACAGUUAGAAAUGACUGCUAAUACCGGAUGAUGACUUCGGUCCAAAGAUUUAUCGCCCAAGGAUGAGCCCGCGUAGGAUUAGCUAGUUGGUAGGGUAAAGGCCUACCAAGGCGACGAUCCUUAGCUGGUCUGAGAGGAUGAUCAGCCACACUGGGACUGAGACACGGCCCAGACUCCUACGGGAGGCAGCAGUGGGGAAUAUUGGACAAUGGGCGAAAGCCUGAUCCAGCAAUGCCGCGUGAGUGAUGAAGGCCCUAGGGUUGUAAAGCUCUUUUACCCGGGAUGAUAAUGACAGUACCGGGAGAAUAAGCCCCGGCUAACUCCGUGCCAGCAGCCGCCGUAAAAC
rnacentral:rRNA from 1 species